AUUGAACGCUGGCGGCAUGCCUUACACAUGCAAGUCGAACGGUAACGGGCCUUCGGGUGCCGACGAGUGGCGAACGGGUGAGUAAUGCAUCGGAACGUACCUUUCAGUGGGGAUAACGUAGCGAAAGUUACGCUAAUACCGCAUAUUCUGUGAGCAGGAAAGCAGGGGAUCGCAAGACCUUGCGCUGAUUGAGCGGCCGAUGUCAGAUUAGCUAGUUGGUGAGGUAAAGGCUCACCAAGGCGACGAUCUGUAGCGGGUCUGAGAGGAUGAUCCGCCACACUGGGACUGAGACACGGCCCAGACUCCUACGGGAGGCAGCAGUGGGGAAUUUUGGACAAUGGGGGCAACCCUGAUCCAGCCAUGCCGCGUGAGUGAAGAAGGCCUUCGGGUUGUAAAGCUCUUUCGGCCGGGAAGAAAUCGUAUCAGCUAAUACCUGGUGCGGAUGACGGUACCGGCAUAAGAAGCACCGGCUAACUACGUGCCAGCAGCCGCAGUAAAAC
rnacentral:rRNA from 1 species